AAACCGUAGGAUGCGUCGAAGAAUAUAGAUUAUAAUCGUACGUGUGACCCGCGUUAGCCAGAGCAGAUUUAGAAAAUAGCAUCUAAGUAAAAAAUAAGACUGAAAAAAACUAAAACUAAAAAACCGGCGUACUUUGGUGACGUCACACGUAGGAAAAAUCUGCGUCAUAUCUGGUGGAUAUCCGUGACGCACGUGCAAGAAACAGGGGUGCUUCGAGCAAAAGUUGAUAAGGGCGAAAGUGCGUGUGUGUGUGCGCUCGGGGGUGAUGCAGCUUGACGCGGCUCGGUGCGGCGCGCAAGCGCGACGGUUGCAGAGCUUUCGAGCCACGCGAUGGUAGCAGUUGGCCUUCUAAAACCGCGAAACACGUCCCGCGUUCUCUCGAAGGAAGAGGAGUAUCCGCGAGGAUAAGCCCACGUUUUUUUCUUCCCCCGUUUAAAGUGUACGUUCGUGCGCGUUAUUAGAGAAAGAAUCGGAAGACGUCCCCGAUCGUCGUCUAUCGUGAUCGUCCUUUCUCGCUUCUUGCGUUCGAUUUCAUUUGACACUGACACCCAACACACGUACCAAAUCACGGUAAAUACCAACAACACCCUCGUCGUCUGUGUCUCGAACGUCAUGACAUCGUGCAUCAUUUUAUCGCGAUCGAACGCUGGCGAUCAGGAAAGACCCUGACCUUGAAAGUCCACGUGCAAACGUCAGAUUAGAGGAUAAUUAACACGCGUUAACCAACGACAAUGCGUUAAUGGAGAACAACCGCGGUACCCGCGUAUUUUCUUCAUCGGAAAAAUAUAUAACGAUUAGUUCGUAAUAAUAUACAAAUGAUAACGAUAUUUGAAAGAAUGAUAAUCCUAAUCGAAUGAAAAUACUGAAGAAAUAGGAGAAAUCUAAACUUUUGACUCUUGAUUAUGCCUAUGUGAUGAUUGUGUUCUAUACUUUACUGUCGUACUUUAGUAUCGCGGCUGAAAAGGACACGUUGUGCCAAAUGUUCUUUCAUCAGAUAGAUACAUGAUAAAUAUGUUGGCAAAGUUUAACCAAGCUUUAUAAGAUACAAUCAAAUCAUACAAUGACAACUUAGCAAAUGUAAAAUACAACAGCAACCUUAUUAAGAAUUGUAAUGACUCGAAAUAUCUUAGCGAGACGAGAUGAGAGGACAGACGAAAAUGAGAGAUCUCGCAAAUGUAUACGCAAUGCUAAUGCCCUGACGUUUAGUCGUCUAGGGAAAAUUAAGAGGAUCAAGAUCCUUGGACAAUCGCACGUCAGGGUGAUUAUGGUCGAAAAACCGUCGUAGUAGUACGGCUGCGCACGGUAAAACAUGAAUGACAGCGAGAUCUAUCUAUUGAACUGGGAAGAAGAGGUACAUGCAUUAAACAACGAUCUUGAUAGAAGCUUUUAUAACGCGAACUAUCCGUCGUUUAAUCAUACCUAUGAGGAUCUCUGGGAACUCGCUACGGAUCGAAUCGGUCUCGCGAUCGUUUUAUUACUCUUCUCCGUAGCUACCGUUUUCGGCAACUCGUUAGUGAUUCUCGCGGUAUUCCGAGAGAGGCAUCUGCACACAGCUACGAACUACUUUGUGACUUCACUGGCUUGCGCCGAUUGCCUGGUAGGACUGGUAGUGAUGCCAAUUAGCGCGGUAUACGAGGUAUUGGAGAACCGUUGGCUGUUCACGACGGACUGGUGUGACGUUUGGCGCUCGCUCGAUGUUCUUUUCUCCACCGCGUCCAUUCUAAACCUGUGCGUUAUUAGCCUAGAUCGCUACUGGGCGAUUACCGAUCCCUUUACGUAUCCGACUCGAAUGAGUAGGAAACGCGCCGCGAUCCUAAUCGCCAUCGUAUGGAUUUGUUCGAGUGCGAUCUCCUUUCCUGCGAUAGCGUGGUGGCGUGCCGUUCGUACUGAGCAAGUGCCCGCAGACAAGUGUCCCUUCACGGAGAAUCUCGGUUACCUGAUAUUCUCGUCGACAAUCAGUUUUUACCUACCGCUAUUCGUGAUGGUAUUCACGUAUUACAGAAUCUAUCGCGCCGCCGUGAUACAGACGAGGAGUCUAAAACUCGGCACGAAGCAGGUGAUGAUGGCCUCGGGCGAGCUCGAACUCACGUUGAGGAUACAUCGGGGCGGUACAACCACCAACACCGACGCUAGACAUCUUUUUCGCACCGCCUCGAGCACACCCGAAGAUCUGCAAGAUCUCGAGGAACCGUUAACAGCUCUUCACAACAAUGGUCUCACUAGAGUACCCUCCGCGAGGAUCAGCAAUAAACAACACCUAGGAAAAAAUUUCUCUCUCUCGCGUAAACUCGCCAAGUUCGCCAAAGAGAAAAAGGCGGCGAAGACCCUUGGUAUCGUUAUGGGGGUAUUUAUUAUUUGCUGGCUACCGUUCUUCGUUGUGAAUCUAUGGUCGGGAUUCUGCACGAGGUGCAUAUGGCAAGAAGAAAUCGUAUCUGCGGCCGUCACUUGGCUUGGCUGGAUUAACAGCGGAAUGAACCCCGUAAUAUACGCUUGCUGGAGCAGAGAUUUUCGUAGAGCUUUCGUAAGAAUUCUGUGCUAUUGUUGUCCCAGAAAAAUGAAACGACGAUAUCAGCCAGCAUUUAGAUGUAAACCGAGUCAGAAAUUCGCAUCCGGACGAUACUACUCCGCGUAUUCCCUUCAUCACGUACGGGGAAGUCGAGAAAAUUCCGGCGAGCAAACCUACAUUUAACAACGGAAUAUCAUCGCGAGCUGGUCAUCGAUCGCUGGUCGUGGAAUCCCUCGAGACCUUUUCUUUAUUUCUGUUUAUCGCUUAUCCUUCGUCCUUAAUGCAAUAUAGAUAAAGCAGUAUAUAGUUUAACUAUUGGUAAUUCCAAGCAAUCACAAUCCUCUGUCCGUUUUCCAAAACCCUUAUAUAUCAAAGAUCAACGAGCAUCAACGAACAUCAACGUAUUCUUAUAGAAUAUAAAUUCUCGUACAUCUCCGGAAUGGCAACGGGAGGACAGGCGAGUAAUGUGAGCUAUAGUAGCGUCAGUCAGAGCAGCGAUGGUGG
rnacentral:misc_RNA from 1 species